rnacentral:lncRNA from 1 species
CGAAAAACUCCGCAAUGGCCAAAGUUUUAGUAGCAUCAAAAAUCAUCAUAUGGGACGAAUGCACAAUGGCGCACAAACGCGCAUUGGAAGCACUAGACCGAACAUUAAAAGAUCUGCGCAAUGACUCGAGAUGUUUUGGUGGUGCAAUGAUUUUAUUAUCUGGCGAUUUCCGACAAACACUACCAGUCAUUCCAAGAUCUACUGCUGCAGACGAAAUAAACGCUUGCCUCAAAGCAUCAAAUCUGUGGCGAUAUGUAAAGAAACUUCAACUGUCUGUAAAUAUGAGAGUUGCAUUGUUGAACGAUCUAUCUGCUGAUGAUUUCUCGAAGCAAUUGCUGACUAUCGGUAAUGGCCGUGUUCCUGUUGACAAAUCGAGCGGUUUGAUUUCAUUUCCUCAAAAUUUUUGCAAUUUCGUAUCAUUAAAAGACGAGCUUAUCAACAACGUAUUCCCGGAUAUUAUUGCUAACCACAA